GGCGUGCCUUUUGCAUAAUGAGCCUACGAGUUACCGUUGCUAGCGAGGUUAAACACUUCAGGUGUGGAGCCGUAGCGAAAGCGAGUCUGAAUAGGGCGCUAUAGUUAGUAGUGGUAGACGCGAAACCGUGUGAUCUACCCAUGGGCAGGUUGAAGCUGUGGUAACACACAGUGGAGGACCGAACCGGUUGACGUUGAAAAGUCUUGGGAUGACCUGUGGGUAGGGGUGAAAGGCCAAUCAAACUCGGAAAUAGCUCGUACUCCCCGAAAUGCAUUUAGGUGCAGCGUAUUAAUAGUUUUAUAGAGGUAGAGCUACUGAUUGGAUGCGGGGGCUUCACCGCCUACCAAUUCCUGACAAACUCCGAAUGCUAUAAAAUGUUUUAAUGCAGUGAGGGCAUGGGUGCUAAGGUCCAUGUCCGAGAGGGAAAGAACCCAGAUCACCGGCUAAGGUCCCAAAGUAUAUGCUAAGUUGAUAUAACGCGGUGGAACUGCAUUGACAGCCAGGAUGUUGGCUUGGAAGCAGCCAUUCAUUUAAAGAGUGCGUAACAGCUCACUGGUCGAGCGGUUCCGCAUGGAUAAUAAUCGGGCAUAAGCAUAUCACCGAAGCCGUGACUUUGUAUUUAUACAAGGGGUAGGGGAGCAUUGUAACUGCGUCGAAGGCGUACCUGCGAGGGAUGCUGGAGCGGUUACAAACGAAAAUGUAGGCAUAAGUAACGAUAAUGCGGGCGAGAAACCCGCACGCCGAAAGACCAAGGUUUCCCCAGCUAUGCUAAUCAGCUGGGGGUCAGUCGGGACCUAACGCGAACCCGAAGGGGAUAGUGGAUGGACAACAGAUUAAUAUUUCUGUACCUGCUCACGCUAAAAGUGACGGAGGCGAGAAGUUGGUGCGUACAGACGGAAUUGUACGUUGAAGGGAGCGGUAACGCCCCGAUAGUACACCGAGGCCACGGCCAAGGUGAUAAUCCAGCAUAUCGACUUCCAAGAAAAGCGAGUGAAGCAGCCCGUACCGUAAACCGACACAGGUGGUUGGGAUGAGUAUUCUAAGGCGCUCGAGAGAUUCAUGGCUAAGGAACUAGGCAAAAUAGACCCGUAACUUCGGGAGAAGGGUCGCCCCCUUAUGGGGGGCCGCAGUGAAGAGGUCCAGGCGACUGUUUAUCAAAAACACAGGGCUCUGCAAAAUCGAAAGAUGACGUAUAGGGCCUGACACCUGCCCGGUGCUGGAAGGUUAAGAGGAGAUGUCAUUCCUUCGGGGAGAAGCAUUGAAUUGAAGCCCCAGUAAACGGCGGCCGUAACAAUAACGGUCCUAAGGUAGCGAAAU
rnacentral:rRNA from 1 species